rnacentral:rRNA from 1 species
UCCAGACUCCUACGGGAGGCAGCAGUGGGGGAUAUUGGACAAUGGGGGGAACCCUGAUCCAGCGACGCCGCGUGAGUGAAGAAGUAUCUCGGUAUGUAAAGCUCUAUCAGCAGGGAAGAAGAAAUGACGGUACCUGAGUAAGAACCCCCGGCUAACUACGUGCCAGCAGCCGCGGGAAUACGUAGGGGGCAAGCGUUAUCCGGAAUUACCGGGUGUAAAGGGAGCGUAGACGGUGAUGUAAGUCUGGAGUGAAAGGCGGGGGCCCAACCCCCGGACUGCUCUGGAAACUGUAUAGCUGGAGUGCAGGAGAGGUAAGUGGAAUUCCUAGUGUAGCGGUGAAAUGCGUAGAUAUUAGGAGGAACACCAGUGGCGAAGGCGGCUUACUGGACUGUAACUGACGUUGAGGCUCGAAAGCGUGGGGAGCAAACAGGAUUAGAUACCCCUGUA